ensembl:lncRNA
GGUACUGCACAUAAAUAAAACCAAUAAAUCUAUACGGUCUAAAAAAUAAUUACCUGUAAAUCCUGGCCAUGUGGAGGGACCAUCAUCUGGCGUAGCUUUCUCUCAUGCGCUGCCUUUCUAGCUCUCUGCUCCUGUUUCUUGAUCCUCCACUGCAUGCGUCUUCUACGUAUAACCUCCUCAGGAUCUACUUUUGGAUUUGGCGUUGCCACUAUUUGGCUUCUAUCACAUCUUGAUUUAUCUGUAUGCUGUGUCUCUGGACCAGAAGGCUUGGUGCACCUGCUUGUUUUUUUCUGAAUGGGGAUCUGUCUGCAUAUUACGAAGAACUGCAUGUUUGGUUGCAUCUUUGCUGGCUUUUCUAGCCCGCUGUUGUCUUUUCUUUAACCGCCAAUACUCUCUCUUUCGUUGAAGCUCAUCACUUUCACCAAGCUGUUGCUUUUGCAAGGCCUGUGAAGGGUAGGCCUGCUUGGGAUUUGCUCCAUCAUCACUGAACUUCUGAGGUUGCAGAGCCACUGGAGAAAUGGCACGACUUCCGUCUGUAGCCUCUUGACAUACGUUAUGAGUGUUACAAUGACUCGUGUUUUCAAAAGUUGAUGCCUGAGCACUCAAUUUGAUAUCUUUAAGGCUUGUGUCUUUUAAAAUGUCACACUGUAAUAAGAUGUUUUGUUGUAAGGUAAGACUUGGCUUUGCAUCUUCAGAUGUAAAAAGGUCAUCUUUAGUCAACGGAAGAGGCUCAUUUUCACACUUAACAUGCAUUUUGUUGGCAUUAUUUUCUUCUGGUGUGUAAAGCGAUUCCUCCAGGAGCUUCUUCAUGGAAGCAACAGCCUGAAGAGUGGUGGCAUGAUGGUCCACAGCUGUUGGAGGCUCAAUGUGUGAUUCUAAGGAUGCACAAGGUGAAGGUUUGCUGCUAUUAACACUGAUGCAGGGAAUUAUUUCUGGGAUGGAAAACACAGUUUGUAUAGUGGGAUAGACAUGCUCUUCUUUUAUAGGCAUUGGGGCACUGGUAGAGGAGUGACAAACUGUUGUGGUGAUAGAUGAAGUAAUACUUUGCCUAUGGUUUGACUUCUUGUUUUGCUCUCUCUGCUUUAACACAGAAACCUUCGACCUAAGCAGACCAUUUCCAAGUCGGGCAGCUUGACUAGCCCUUUGCUCUCGUUUCUUUAUCCUCCAAUACUCCCUCAAACGGGCGACCCUUUCUUCUUCUGUUGGGGUUUCAGACUGGAUGGUGACUGUCAUACUGCCCAUAACUGCACCUCUGGUUAACCUAGACUGUACUAGAGAGUUUUGAUUCUUCUGGACUAAUGUUUUGGUGCAUUUUUGGAGCUUGAUAGUCUCUGCGUCUACGUUAACUGUAUCAAAGAGAGCAGCCUGCACACUCUACAAGAUAGGUUUUUCACAUAUUCCACAUAAGAAAGAAAAUCAUACAGGUUUAAUUCAACAUGAUCGUAAGUAAACAAUUCCCGAUUUUUAUUCAACUACUCAUUUUCUAACAUUACAACUGCUAUGCAUUGCUAAACAACGGGGCUUUUUACAAAACUAUUUGAAUUGAACGCAUACAAAUAUGCGUAUAAGAAUAAAAUGUGAAGUAAAUGAUAACAAACUAAAACAGAGCCCAAAGGUGGUACAAACACGUUGCUGUCACUUUAAAUCUUAUCUCACAAUCACAAGAUGACGAUUCAUCCGUCUAACUCUGGCGUUUUGUGUUGACACUGCAAUGGCAGCGCGUGCUUAUUUAUAGAAAAUGCAUAUUUAAAAAGCAUCCUAGCAAACACUGGAGUGGUUUUACUGAACAAGCUGUCGCUGUCUCUGUGACAGAGACAAUGUUGUCUUCCCCAUCUGCCCUCCUGAGCUGCGGUCUGUGUGUGUGUCUGUCAGUCUGUCUGUCAGCUCGUGGACUGUCGUGUCCUUAAAGUAAACGACGUCAUGACGACAUCGAGUGCGCGAAGCAUGCGUUUGUUUUACCUUGUAAAUGUACUUAACUUUCUUUAAGCUCAGUCUCAGGACACUGAAGUCGGGU